rnacentral:rRNA from 1 species
GACGUAGGGCGCGAGCGUUGUCCGGAUUUAUUGGGCGUAAAGAGCUCGUAGGCGGCUUGUCGCGUCGACUGUGAAAACCCACGGCUUAACUGUGGGCUUGCAGUCGAUACGGGCAGGCUAGAGUUCGGUAGGGGAGACUGGAAUUCCUGGUGUAGCGGUGAAAUGCGCAGAUAUCAGGAGGAACACCGGUGGCGAAGGCGGGUCUCUGGGCCGAUACUGACGCUGAGGCACGAAAGCGUGGGGAGCAAACAGG